rnacentral:misc_RNA from 2 species
AGUCAUCGGCCCAACCCGUUUUACUGCGGGGGACGGCCGGAUGUGGGGGCCCUUGCGGACGCGAGUCCGCUCCCCUCAAAUGCUUCGGUUGGGCCUGUGGGUCGGACUUGACUUGGGCGUUGUAACCAUCCUCGCUCUACGGUCUCGCAGCCUUCCCCGUCCCGGAAACGGGAGCCCUCCCACGACCGCCGGCUGGAGCGGCGGUCGAUCUUCUUUUGAA